rnacentral:rRNA from 1 species
GCAAGUCGAACGAAUAAGACCUAGCUUGCUAGGAAACUGUUAGUGGCAGACGGGUGAGUAACACGUAGGAAUUUACCUUAUAGUUCGGGAUAACAGUUGGAAACGACUGCUAAUACCGUAUACGCUCCAUGGAGGAAAGAUUUAUCGCUAUAAGAUAAGCCUGCGUUAGAUUAGGUAGUUGGUGAGGUAAUGGCUCACCAAGGCGACGAUCCCUAGCUGGUUUGAGAGGAUGAUC